CGGGGGGAGCAAGCGUUGUUCGGAUUUACUGGGCGUAAAGGGCGCGUAGGCGGCCACCGCAAGUCGACUGUGAAAUCUCCGGGCUUAACCCGGAAAGGUCAGCCGAUACUGCGGGGCUAGAGUGCAGAAGGGGCAACUGGAAUUCUCGGUGUAGCGGUGAAAUGCGUAGAUAUCGAGAGGAACACCUGCGGCGAGGGCGGGUUGCUGGGCUGACACUGACGCUGAGGCGCGAAAGCUAGGGGAGCGAACGGGAUUAGAUACCCCGGUAGUCCUAGCCUUAAACGAUGAAUGCUUGGUGUCUGGGGUUUUAUAGUCCCCGGGUGCCGUCGCUAACGCUUUAAGCAUUCCGCCUGGGGAGUACGGUCGCAAGACUG
rnacentral:rRNA from 1 species